UACGUAGGGGGCUAGCGUUGUCCGGAAUCAUUGGGCGUAAAGCGCGUGUAGGCGGUUCGGUAAGUCCGCUGUGAAACUCGAGGCUCAACCUCGAGACGCCGGUGGAAACCGUAAGGCUAGAGUCCGGAAGAGGAGAGUGGAAUUCCUGGUGUAGCGGUGAAAUGCGCAGAUAUCAGGAAGAACACCCGUGGCGAAGGCGGCUCUCUGGGACGGUACUGACGCUGAGACGCGAAAGCGUGGGGAGCGAACAGG
rnacentral:rRNA from 1 species